UUGCCACGUGUACAUACUUGUGAGAACAAUAGACUACAAUAUCUGAAAUGUUGCAGUCCUGCAAAAAUCUAUAUAUUAGUUUCCUUAGGGAUGGGGAGAAAACAAUAGAGAAGAGUGAGCGGAGAGAUGAAGUCUCCUCACCCUGAAAACUCCUUGUCUUUGCCCAGAGGUGACUUCUCAGUUCCUUAGACUGAGGCGUCUGGAGUCUGUCCUGACUGUCAAUAUUCUCUGGCCACCUUCCCAGGUAGGAGGUCAGAGACAUGUCAGAAGGGAAGGUACAGACCUGCAAAUAUUUCUAGAUCUCUUACCUCCAAGGUGGGAAGAAUGACCAGGAGAACCCUUGCUCCAGGCCUGUUACCUAAAGUGGAUCCAGGGAAACAAAGGUCCUGUUGCCCACAGCCUGACGUCCGAGCUGCUUCAUAGAACAUCAUCUUUGGGCACCCUCCCAGUCUGGCUCCCUAUCUCUGUGAGCCCUGUCACCACAUAAGAAGUCGACCACUCUAUCACUCCCAUGCUGGAGAGACCACACAUAUGUGCUCCAUUUGCCAGUCUCAGCUGAAUCCAAUCUGCUAACCAUCUUCCUUUGGGUGUCAGACUCAUGAAUGAAAGAAUCUGGGACCCUUCUGACCAGCCCAUCCACCAAUCGUUCUGAGUGACCUCAGUCAGUGCUGUGUGGAGCAGAAGAAUCACACAGUGAGCCUUGCUCAAAUCUCUGACCCACGAAACCGUGCGAUGUAACCAAUGGCUUCAAAGCACUAAGUUUUGGAAUUUGUUAUGUAACAAUAGAUAACCUGGUAACUUUAUCCUCCUCAAAGCCUCUUGAGUUUGCCUAUAGUUCUCACCCAUGAGAUAUUUUCCAGUUAUUAUAGAUCACUCAAAAAUAAUCAUAAACUCACUCAUUGUUAAAAACAAUACAAUGCAUAAUUAUAUAAAAUAAAAACUGAAGACUCCACCUUUAUUCCUUACCUCCAUUCCA